rnacentral:lncRNA from 1 species
AAUGGUCAGGAAACAAGUAGAAAAAAAUCCUAAGAAGAUUAUUUGUUGCAAAAGGUUUUGAGGAAAAUAAUCAACAAAUAAGGGGAGAUUUGCUUUUUUUCAUUGCCUAAUUUUGAAUAAAUGAGGGCCAAAAAAAAGUGUGAAUGCUGAAAUUUUGGAGAGAAGGAAAACAUGCAAGGUGCUUCCAUGUCUAACUGGAACAGCCAUUUCUUGGUC